GGCCACGGUCUGUCGGCGGGACUCAGGCGGCGGCAGCGGCAGCACCGGCGUCCCCAGGAGCCUGCAUGAAACUGGAACAUGGGGCGCAGCCGCGGAUCAACAUGCCCACGGGGAGGAGGCCCCGGGAGCGCAGAUGGGCCUCCAGGACGCGAAGCACCUGCUCCGUGCCUGCCCCCGCCACGCUCUGUUUGGUUUUGUUUUUCCCCAGGAGGUCUGACCCGAGUGUCGCCAGCGCCGGGCGCACAGCAGAGCGGCGCAGAGCACUGCAGCAGCAGCGGCGCGGCUGCACCUGAGCUGCACGCAGCACGCGGCAUCCGUUUGCCCCAGCGAAAAGUAAAGACUCAGCGGAGCGCCUCGGCACCCCUGCGCUGAGGCUUAAGGUCUCGGUUCGUGUAAGACAGCAACGUAGGGCCACUGGCUGCAGACGUGCCAAGUGCCAACCUUAAACCACGCCACCUAAGUCUGUGACCUGGGGCGCGGCACUUGACGUCUCUAGCGGCCGUCCCUCCACCACCCUACUGGGGAAAUGGAAGGACCAGGAGCUGCCUCGGCCCGCCGUGUUAUUAAAUAGCUUAAGUGGCCCCGAGCCAAAGGCGCUCGCCAAAGAAUCGAAGGAGAAGGAAGGUCGCCCGCCACCGGACUGAGGCGGGAGCCUGGGGGUGGCCACCUGCCCCUGCAUCACCCCUAACACCAGGCCCUCCAGAGCAGGCCUGGGUUAAGUUCCCGAGUCCACAGGAGACGGGGCGUGGAGUGGGGGGUGGAAAGGAGCUAACACCAACAAUCACGCCUACACCCGGGCACCCGGUGUCUUGGCCCCGCGUCCUUCAACAUCCGGGAGGCGACGCCCCGUGGGGGUCCGGCUAAGGGCGAUGGGGAUGGUCCGGGGCCCCGAAAUCCCAAAGUUGCCAAGUGGCUUUUGGUCGGUUCUGGAAAGGUUAGCAGGGUUACUAGGAUAAAUCUAGGCGCGGACUAGAAGUUACUCUUCCCUCGCAGCCGCAGUGCCGGCAUUUACCUUGGAAUUGCCAGGCAAGGCCUGUCCGGUAAUGUCCCUGACGCCCGCCCCUCGCCCUGCCCCGCGGGCUUGUGGGAAAUGUAGUUCCCCCGCCAGGGCGCUUCCGGACCCCGCCCGCCGGCCGCAGCCGUUCCUUCCACCUUCCACCUGUUCCGGGGGAGAGUUUUCGUGCCCGGCGGUAUGCUGGCCGCUCCAGAUUUUGGGACCAGAGCCUCUCCGUCCCUGCGUCUUAUACCGUGCAAGCCGAUGCAAGACACAUCAGCUUCGACCAAAAGUGAUACCGGGUGUCCAAAGGAGUAGCGUAGGGGCGCAGGAUUUGAAUUAGACAACUGAGAUUUCUUGCCUUGCUCCUGCUGUGUGUGGAAGCAAAAGAGCACGGUUCUGAUGACUACCAAUAGCACAGUGCCUGGUGUUUGGCCACGCGUGUGCUUAUCACACAACCAGUGCUUAUCACACAAGCGAUUGGGUGCUAACAGAGUCGGAAAUUGAGACUGGAGGGCCCACAAAUUAGCCCAGGACAGGCAGGAAAUCAAUUAAAACAGAACAGUAACUUUUGCUUUGAGUCUUGGAUUUUUGCAGGAAACUAACGUGAUAGAGAAAACUUUGGAAUCAUAGAAAUGUUCUGUUUCUUGAAUUAGGUGCACAUUGCUGCCAGGAGUCUGUUCAGUUUGUGACGCUGUUGAAUGCAUAAUUAAGAUUUUCUAUUUUUUUCUGUGCAUGUUACCCCUCAACUGAAUUAAGAGCCGUGCUUUUUCUAAUCUACUCAAAACAGGAAGAUUUCAUGUGUUUCCUGUAUUGCUUCUCUACUGUUCUUGCUUUUUUAAUUAUAUUCUUUUCAGUUCUAGUCCACUCAGACCUUCAGAUUUACAGAAGGGUAUGGAUGUUUAUUUCAAUCAGAAUUAAUUUUUAUAACUUCAUAUGUAAUACGCUCUGUUGGUCUGUAGAAAACGAUGGCCAGAAGUUGUAUGCAAAUAAUUUCUGUUUAAUUAUCUUUGCUAGUAGGAUUUAUACUUCAAUAAAGAAGUAUAGCAUAA